GACCUUUCGGGCCUCUUGCCAUCAGAUGUGCCCAGAUGGGAUUAGCUAGUAGGUGGGGUAACGGCUCACCUAGGCGACGAUCCCUAGCUGGUCUGAGAGGAUGACCAGCCACACUGGAACUGAGACACGGUCCAGACUCCUACGGGAGGCAGCAGUGGGGAAUAUUGCACAAUGGGCGCAAGCCUGAUGCAGCCAUGCCGCGUGUAUGAAGAAGGCCUUCGGGUUGUAAAGUACUUUCAGCGGGGAGGAAGGCGUUGAGGUUAAUAACCUCAGCGAUUGACGUUACCCGCAGAAGAAGCACCGGCUAACUCCGUGCCAGCAGCCGCGGUAAUACGGAGGGUGCAAGCGUUAAUCGGAAUUACUGGGCGUAAAGCGCACGCAGGCGGUCUGUCAAGUCGGAUGUGAAAUCCCCGGGCUCAACCUGGGAACUGCAUUCGAAACUGGCAGGCUAGAGUCUUGUAGAGGGGGGUAGAAUUCCAGGUGUAGCGGUGAAAUGCGUAGAGAUCUGGNAGGAAUACCGGUGGCGAAGGCGGCCCCCUGGACAAAGACUGACGCUCAGGUGCGAAAGCGUGGGGAGCAAACAGGAUUAGAUACCCUGGUAGUCCACGCCGUAAACGAUGUCGACUUGGAGGUUGUGCCCUUGAGGCGUGGCUUCCGGAGCUAACGCGUUAAGUCGACCGCCUGGGGANGNUACNGGCCGCAAGGUUAAAACUCACAUGAAUUGACGGGGGCCCGCACAAGCGGUGGAGCAUGUGGUUUAAUUCGAUGCAACGCGAAGAACCUCACCUACUCUUGACAUCCAGAGAACUUUCCAGAGAUGGAUUGGUGCCUUCGGGAACUCUAAGACAGGUGCUGCAUGGCUGUCGUCAGCUCGUGUUGUGAAAUGUUGGGUUAAGUCCCGCAACGAGCGCAACCCUUAUCCUUUGUUGCCAGCGGUUAGGCCGGGAACUCAAAGGAGACUGCCAGUGAUAAACUGGAGGAAGGUG
rnacentral:rRNA from 1 species